rnacentral:rRNA from 1 species
GUUUGAUCAUGGCUCAGAUUGAACGCUGGCGGCAGGCUUAACACAUGCAAGUCGAGCGGGGGAAGGUAGCUUGCUACUGGACCUAGCGGCGGACGGGUGAGUAAUGCUUAGGAAUCUGCCUAUUAGUGGGGGACAACAUCUCGAAAGGGAUGCUAAUACCGCAUACGUCCUACGGGAGAAAGCAGGGGAUCUUCGGACCUUGCGCUAAUAGAUGAGCCUAAGUCGGAUUAGCUAGUUGGUGGGGUAAAGGCCUACCAAGGCGACGAUCUGUAGCGGGUCUGAGAGGAUGAUCCGCCACACUGGGACUGAGACACGGCCCAGACUCCUACGGGAGGCAGCAGUGGGGAAUAUUGGACAAUGGGGGGAACCCUGAUCCAGCCAUGCCGCGUGUGUGAAGAAGGCCUUAUGGUUGUAAAGCACUUUAAGCGAGGAGGAGGCUACUUUAGUUAAUACCUAGAGAUAGUGGACGUUACUCGCAGAAUAAGCACCGGCUAACUCUGUGCCAGCAGCCGCGGUAAUACAGAGGGUGCGAGCGUUAAUCGGAUUUACUGGGCGUAAAGCGUGCGUAGGCGGCUUAUUAAGUCGGAUGUGAAAUCCCCGAGCUUAACUUGGGAAUUGCAUUCGAUACUGGUGAGCUAGAGUAUGGGAGAGGAUGGUAGAAUUCCAGGUGUAGCGGUGAAAUGCGUAGAGAUCUGGAGGAAUACCGAUGGCGAAGGCAGCCAUCUGGCCUAAUACUGACGCUGAGGUACGAAAGCAUGGGGAGCAAACAGGAUUAGAUACCCUGGUAGUCCAUGCCGUAAAC